rnacentral:rRNA from 1 species
UACCAGACUCCUACGGGAGGCAGCAGUGGGGGAUAUUGCACAAUGGGGGGAACCCUGAUGCAGCGACGCCGCGUGGGUGAAGGAGUGCUUCGGCAUGUAAAGCCCUAUCGGCAGGGAAGAAGCAAGACGGUGCCUGACUAAGAAGCCCCGGCUAACUACGUGCCAGCAGCCGCGGUAAUACGUAGGGGGCAAGCGUUAUCCGGAUUUACUGGGUGUAAAGGGGGCGCAGACGGCAGCGCAAGCCAGGAGUGAAAGCCCGGGGCCCAACCCCGGGACUGCUCUUGGAACUGCGCGGCUGGAGUGCAGGAGGGGCAGGCGGAAUUCCUGGUGUAGCGGUGAAAUGCGUAGAUAUCAGGAGGAACACCGGUGGCGAAGGCGGCCUGCUGGACUGCGACUGACGUUGAGGCCCGAAAGCGUGGGGAGCAAACAGGAUUAGAUACCCUAGUAA